CUUCAGGUUACUGUCGCGAUCAAUCAUUACCCACCAGAGGGAAUCGAACACAGAGGCCUGUGUAUAUUCCUUACCGUUAAGCUCUGCAAUUACAGAGAAUCGAAACCAGAACCCUGUUAAAACUCUUUGAUGUUCCAUCAUUAAAGAGAAUUGAACCCGGGACCCCUGUCAACCGUCCCGUCAUGUUCCAUCAGUACACAACACAGGGAAUCAAACCCAGAACCCCUGUCAGCGUGGGUCUGUGUGUGGGGCUCACCUCUGCUCUCUCCCUCUUCUGUUGCUCCUGUUUCUCCAGCUCCGCGAUGCGCAGGCUGAGGUCCUCCCAGUGCAUGAUGGGAAGGUGCUGUUCGCCCAGGGAAGUCAGAUAAAGAUCUCCCGAUCCCUCUUCCUGGUCUUCUUUGGGGAGAUGUCGCCCGUCGCCGUCCUUCUCCUCCGUUGUCUCUUCCUCUGUGGACCCUACCUCCAUCUCUUAGAGAGGCACAUGAGUUACACACCAAAUUAGCCAUGCAAAGUGUUUGUAUGUAUGUUUCACAUGUGUGUAUGUGUGUCCACUUGUGUUUGGGUACGAAUUUGUGUGUGUAUGUUUGUUUGUGUGUGUCUGUCCGCUUGUGUGUGUGUGUUCGUGUGGUGUGUCCGCUUGUGUGUUUGCGUGUGUCCCUGUUUGUGUGUUUGUCCGCGUGUGUGUCCCUGUUUGUGUGUUUGUCCGCGUGUGUGUGUGUGUGUGUGUGUGUGUGUGUGUACUUAAGUAUGUGACUACAAAUGCAUGCCUGGCGUAUCGAUCUGUCUGGCGGACUACACGAAAAAUCCAUUCUGUCGCAGUAAUUCAAACUCAAGAAAAUCGAUCGACUCUGUCCUGCACUGCAGUUACCGUGAUGGUAACUUAACUCCGUUGACGGCGGUAACUUUUUACAACUGUCAAUUUAUUAACGAAAUUUAAAAGAUUAUUAAUAUCACUUAUUAUAGAAGUCAGAACACGUGUGUUAAUAUAAAUAACAUGCGAUCCAUAUCGUUAUAAAUCCGUCAAGAGGAUAAAACAGGAACGACUAUUUAGUAUACAAUGUGAGUGUUGGGAAGGUCGGUUCUUACUCAAUCGUAUCCAUGUAGGCCUAUA
ensembl:lncRNA